GACGAACGCUGGCGGCGUGCUUAACACAUGCAAGUCGAACGGUAAGGCCCUUCGGGGUACACGAGUGGCGAACGGGUGAGUAACACGUGGGUGAUCUGCCCUGCACUUCGGGAUAGCCUGGGAAACUGGGUCUAAUACCGGAUAGGACCACUGCCUGCAUGGGUGGUGGUGGAAAGCUUUUGCGGUGUGGGAUGGGCCCGCGGCCUAUCAGCUUGUUGGUGGGGUGAUGGCCUACCAAGGCGACGACGGGUAGCCGGCCUGAGAGGGUGACCGGCCACACUGGGACUGAGAUACGGCCCAGACUCCUACGGGAGGCAGCAGUGGGGAAUAUUGCACAAUGGGCGCAAGCCUGAUGCAGCGACGCCGCGUGAGGGAUGACGGCCUUCGGGUUGUAAACCUCUUUCAGCACCGACGAAGCGCAAGUGACGGUAGGCGCAGAAGAAGGACCGGCCAACUACGUGCCAGCAGCCGCCGUAA
rnacentral:rRNA from 1 species